rnacentral:lncRNA from 1 species
AAUAAUUGCUUUCAAGAACAUCUCAUUUAAGAAACGGUGCCUGGAUGCUAUGGCAGUAAUAAAAUCUCCAUCAUUGCUGGUCUAUCAGGCUGCGCUGAGUUCUGUCCUGGAUUUCCCUCUCACAGUGCACAUCAGCCGCAGGUCGCGGUUUCGUCUGUCAGUCAGCAGCCACCACUGAGCUUCACUGGCAAUGGGACUAUGACUGCAGCUGGCCUCAGGGCCUCUGUCCUGGUGUCACCUUGCUGGGGUCACUGAGCGAGGUAAGGGUCACCGUCUCUUUUGAGAGGUCAGUCACGUGGAUGACGCCCUUGUUAGGUGCAUCUAUGCUAUAGUAACUUUGUUUUAUAGAAUGUUUUGUCAGGCUCGGACACAGCGUGCUGUACAGAUGGGCACUGGCAGCGCCUUUGUCCCCGACCCUUCCCAUCCUCACGGCUGCCUUGCUGGGAAUAUUCAGGCGUGCAGACGGCAAGGCUUCCUCCAGCUGAGUCAUCGCUGGGAAUCGGCAGAGAAUGCAGAAACGUUUUGGGAACUACAGAACAGGAAACUUUGGCUGAAGACCAGGCAGACUCCAGUACACAUGAUGAAGUCUCCAGACAUCGCUGCUACUAACCCCUCUUCAUCUUACAGUUUUGAAAGUGAGUUCUUUGUCUCAUCAUCUUCCUACAGAAGGAAUUAUCCCAAUAGUUUCAAA